rnacentral:rRNA from 1 species
UACGUAGGGUGCAAGCGUUGUCCGGAAUUAUUGGGCGUAAAAAGCUCGUAGGCGGUCUGUCACGUCGGCUGUGAAAACCCGAGGCUCAACCUCGGGCCUGCAGUCGAUACGGGCAAACUAGAGUGUUGCAGGGGAGACUGGAAUUCCUGGUGUAGCGGUGAAAUGCGCAGAUAUCAGGAGGAACACCGGUGGCGAAGGCGGGUCUCUGGGCAACAACUGACGCUGAGGAGCGAAAGCGUGGGGAGCGAACAGG